rnacentral:rRNA from 1 species
GAUGAACGCUGGCGGCGUGCCUAAUACAUGCAAGUCGAGCGAACGGACGAGAAGCUUGCUUCUCUGAUGUUAGCGGCGGACGGGUGAGUAACACGUGGAUAACCUACCUAUAAGACUGGGAUAACUUCGGGAAACCGGAGCUAAUACCGGAUAAUAUUUUGAACCGCAUGGUUCAAAAGUGAAAGACGGUCUUGCUGUCACUUAUAGAUGGAUCCGCGCUGCAUUAGCUAGUUGGUAAGGUAACGGCUUACCAAGGCAACGAUGCAUAGCCGACCUGAGAGGGUGAUCGGCCACACUGGAACUGAGACACGGUCCAGACUCCUACGGGAGGCAGCAGUAGGGAAUCUUCCGCAAUGGGCGAAAGCCUGACGGAGCAACGCCGCGUGAGUGAUGAAGGUCUUCGGAUCGUAAAACUCUGUUAUUAGGGAAGAACAUAUGUGUAAGUAACUGUGCACAUCUUGACGGUACCUAAUCAGAAAGCCACGGCUAACUACGUGCCAGCAGCCGCGGUAAUACGUAGGUGGCAAGCGUUAUCCGGAAUUAUUGGGCGUAAAGCGCGCGUAGCGGUUUUUUAAGUCUGAUGUGAAAGCCCACGGCUCAACCGUGGAGGGUCAUUGGAAACUGGAAAACUUGAGUGCAGAAGAGGAAAGUGGAAUUCCAUGUGUAGCGGUGAAAUGCGCAGAGAUAUGGAGGAACACCAGUGGCGAAGGCGACUUUCUGGUCUGUAACUGACGCUGAUGUGCGAAAGCGUGGGGAUCAAACAGGAUUAGAUACCCUGGUAGUCCACGCCGUAAACGAUGAGUGCUAAGUGUUAGGGGGUUUCCGCCCCUUAGUGCUGCAGCUAACGCAUUAAGCACUCCGCCUGGGGAGUACGACCGCAAGGUUGAAACUCAAAGGAAUUGACGGGGACCCGCACAAGCGGUGGAGCAUGUGGUUUAAUUCGAAGCAACGCGAAGAACCUUACCAAAUCUUGACAUCCUUUGACAACUCUAGAGAUAGAGCCUUCCCCUUCGGGGGGCAAAGUGACAGGUGGUGCAUGGUUGUCGUCAGCUCGUGUCGUGAGAUGUUGGGUUAAGUCCCGCAACGAGCGCAACCCUUAAGCUUAGUUGCCAUCAUUAAGUUGGGCACUCUAAGUUGACUGCCGGUGACAAACCGGAGGAAGGUGGGGAUGACGUCAAAUCAUCAUGCCCCUUAUGAUUUGGGCUACACACGUGCUACAAUGGACAAUACAAAGGGCAGCGAAACCGCGAGGUCAAGCAAAUCCCAUAAAGUUGUUCUCAGUUCGGAUUGUAGUCUGCAACUCGACUACAUGAAGCUGGAAUCGCUAGUAAUCGUAGAUCAGCAUGCUACGGUGAAUACGUUCCCGGGUCU